GAGAGAGAGAGAGAGAGAGAACAUAAAGAAGAAAAGAGAGAAAGACAAACAAAGAAAACAGCUGUUUAUGUCUUUCUUGUCUCAAGAACCUUUCUUUUCUUUACUGGGAGAGAAAAUGCAAGAAACGGAGAGAAAAUGAUAGAGAAGGAGAGAGGGUUAAACUAGUUUUUUUCUGCCCAGUAACAUGUCUGUGAAUGUGGC
rnacentral:misc_RNA from 1 species